rnacentral:lncRNA from 1 species
AUGUAGCAGGGCUCAAUAUCAAUUGAUCAAAAGAAAAGACAGUGUGACUGUAUGCACUUAUUUAAAAGCUAAAAUUUGAUGCAUAGCUGUGCUAGAUCAGCUAUGAGCAGGCACAAAUAAACAAGCCAACAAAAUCCAGAAAAUAAAAAAAAAAUGCAAAAAGAAAAUUAAUUAACAAGGCAGAUCGUAGGUGGAACUUUGUAGGCUUGGGUCGUUGAACUGGCUUUAUAGUCAAAAGAUGGCAAGUAUAAACUGACAAAAAAAACAAGUAACCUAUUAAAAAUUGUCCCCUUCAUUAACAUUAGCUUUCUAAGAUGAACUUUUAUUUAAUAUACCAAUCCAAAUUUUGUAUCUAUCUUCUUGUCCAUUGAUGAAAGAAAUCACAUUGAGACAUCCUAUAAAAGUUAAUCUUAGAUACAACACCUGCGUACCCUGAAAAAAGUGCCCACCUCCCUGGCAUCGAAGUGUGAUAUAUACAAUCUAAUAACCUAACACUCAGUAAUCAGAAUAAAAACUGCAAGCGGUAUGUAUUCUAGAAGGGACAACAAAGGAGGGAGAACAAGAAAGGGAGACUGAAAAAGAAAUUGAGAGUUGCGAGCUACGAGCUGCCCCAAAUUGAGAUCAACAAUUAAGGGAAUGAUGCAUCCAAUCGAUCUACAUGUGAGCAGGAAACAAAAACAACGAAACAAUUAUAAGAUCAUGACCUAACAAAUUAACUAUAGCAACCAAAAGCAAGUGUGCCUUUACCCACUCAGAAAGAGAUCUUAUUCUAUCUAAUAUGCACUGCCUACAUACAUUCCAAGAAACAAACAACACUACCACCAAGGCAAGAAUUGGACAAGGAUUACUAUGGAAAACGACACUGGAACUCCAACUCUUUCUUUCCCAAACCUUCAUAAUUAAGAAAGGAAAAUCAUCUCUGAU